CAUUCAAUCACCCACACGAGGAAAAAAUAUUUAAUAAACGGCUAUUACACUUGUGAUUCUAGCUUUGUUGUGUAUAUAUACUCAAAUGUCCAUGUGGAUAUAUCUUUGUCGGGGAAACUACCACAAAAAUUAAGGACCAUCUAGCCAAACAUAAAUCCAAUAUAUGAAUGUGGAAAAUGGAACUGCCAGUUCAAAAACAUUU